UACGGAGGAUGCAAGCGUUAUCCGGAAUCACUGGGUUUAAAGGGUGCGUAGGCGGUUUGAUAAGUCAGAGGUGAAAGCUUGCAGCUUAACUGCAAAAUUGCCUUUGAUACUGUCAGACUUGAAUGAAGUUGAGGUGGGCGGAAUGUGACAUGUAGCGGUGAAAUGCAUAGAUAUGUCAUAGAACACCAAUUGCGAAGGCAGCUCACUGGACUUAGAUUGACGCUGAGGCACGAAAGCGUGGGGAGCGAACAGG
rnacentral:rRNA from 1 species